CAACUUUAUUAGAAGAGACGCAUUUAUUAGAUAAAAAGCCAGUUCAUGCUUUUACAGUAUGAAAAUUGGUGAUUUAUAAUAACUUAGCAAAUCGCAAAGUGAAAACAGGCGAUAAAUCAUUCAAGUUUCUGACCUAUCAGCUUUCGACGGUAUGGUAUUGGCUUACCGUGGCAGUGACGGUUAACGGGGGAUUAGGGUUCGAUUCCGGAGAGGGAGCCUGAGAAACGGCUACCACAUCUAAGGAAGGCAGCAGGCGCGCAAAUUACCCAAUUCUAACAGUUUGAGAGAGGUAGUAACAAGAAAUAACAAUACAAGGCAGUUAAAAUGCUUUGUAAUUGGAAUGAUAGAAAUUUAAACCCUUUUUAAAGUAUCAAUUGGAGGGCAAGUCUGGUGCCAGCAGCCGCGGUAAUUCCAGCUCCAAUAGCGUAUAUUAAAAUUGUUGCAGUUAAAAAGCUCGUAGUUGAAGUUCUGCUGAAAGUAACCGGUCUGCUUUUAAUAAAAGUGGUAUCUUGGUAUGUAUUUAGCAAUGAUGUCCUUUGAAGUGUUUUUUACUUUAUUGUAAUAAAGCAUAUUCAGGACUUUUACUUGAGAAAAUUAGAG
rnacentral:rRNA from 1 species